rnacentral:lncRNA from 1 species
UCAAAAGCAGAUUCGAGUGAGUGGUCAGUUCUUUGGAGUUAUCGGCUGGGAGAGUGAGAAAGAGAGCUCUGCAUUUCUCCUUAGGCAGCAACAGCCGAGAGAGGAAAAAGAAAAGAGCAACCGAACAGCUUUUCCAUUUCUGCACUUUUUAACCAACCAAAGCCGAGAGCUAAGAGGACAAACCAGUCUGCAACUACAAGUAUCAGCUACAUCAGUGAGGAGAAAAGGAUAGCGGGUGCAAGAGUGGAGGAACCAAAGCCGAGGGAGAGGACAGUGAUCUGUAAUUAUCGAGCUUUGGGAAAGAAAAGGUAAGAAUCUGUAACCACGCUUUUAUUUCUUGAAUAUAACUGAGAAUAGGGGCUGCAUGUUGGGUUUUAGCCAGGAAUAACAAGAUUUAGCUGAAGAGAAUUCUGAUAUGGAAGAAAAAUAGGAGUUGGACUGAAGUUGGGGAACCGAGAGCUUGCAUGUUGAGUUGCAGCCUGUUAUUAUUGUAAAAAUGGAAACUAAUGAUAGGUUUUGCAUGUAAUACGUUGGCUUCUGAUGUUUUGGGAAGUUUAGUUGAAGAAAACUUGGGAAAAGGUGGAACUUUGGGUUGAGACCGUAGGAAGAAACAUGCUGGAAUUUUUCCAGCUUCACCCGAGAGGAAGAAACUGAAUUUUGUAGCUUAGUAACCGAGUAUAUGGAGUAAUUUUCUGCUAGAAGCUCAAACCAUGUGUUAUUUCCUUGUCUUAUCUGAGUAACUAGUGCAGAGUUGUUAGCUUGAGUGAAAAAUUUGCAAGAAUUAACUAGUGGUUUUGUCUAGCUAGCCGAGAGAUGAAGAAAGAAAAUUUUCCAGAUUUCUGGUUCCAAAUUCGUCGAAGUUGAAUACCUUGCAUAAUCUUUUAGUUUUAGCAUGCAUGUUGGAUUUGAAUGGGAAAUAAAGUAGUUAAUGGAGAAGUUCUUGUUUAAAAACUAAUUGCUGUCCAAAACAGUCACAGCUUGACCGAGAGAGAGAAGUAGACUUCAGAUUGUUCUGCGUAGCUUUUGGGUUGAAUAACUUGUUGAAAUUAGAUGCUAUUUGCCUUGUUAUAUGCUGGACUGAAUGUAACUUAAGUAUUUAGAGCUUUAAGCAAGUGAAAGAAUAGAGUUUUUGCUUAAAGUUUGAAGUAACGUUACUAGAAUUUUUGUGGUUGCUGUCCAAGAAAAUGAAACAGAUUGUGCUUCUGACCGUCCCUUUUUUACCUUGAAAAUGCAAGAACUGGGUGUCGAUAUCUUCAUAUGAAAUGUAGGUAUAUGUCUUAGUUUCAAAACGCUAUAAAAUUUACCUCAAUCUGAUAAGUAUAGCUCCAGUUAUGAUGAAAACACCAGAGAGUGGCAAUGCAGAAUAUUGGCCGAGGGAGUGAAGCAGAAUGUGCUUCUAUCCGGCCAUUUUUGACCCUGAAAAUGUGAGAACUGGGUGUCAAUGUCUUCACAAAAAAUGUAGGUCUAUAUCUUAGCUUUGAAACGCUAUAAAAUUUGCCUCAAUCUGAUAAGCGUAGCUCCAGUUAUGAUCAAAACACCAGAGGAUGGCAAAGCUACCUUUCUCGUUGCCUUUCCUUUUGUUCCCGAAUGCACUUUGAUAAGAUGCUAACCGUGAGGAACCAACUUUUAACCAGCAUUUCUUCUAAUUUCCAACCUUGUAAGCUUUCAUAAAUAAUAGCUAUGAUUGUUCUGAGAAUCAACGGCUAUACCUAGUUUCAAGAGUAGAGUUAAACUAAGGCAAUUGAGUGAAAAACUCACAAUAGUUAUAUACCUAAAUUGGCUUCUAAUUACUUAAUAUUGUCUUCACAAAUAUUUUAGAGUAUAAAAUUUGAGGGACUGGCGUAGUGGAAUAAAAAUUAAUUUACAAAUAACCUAGAGUUUAAUUAAUUAAAAAGCGGACCAAUGGAGUACUCCUAAACCGUAAUCUUAGAAUCUUAAAUGGAAAAUAAUUUAAUCCAAAAAUAAAUAUUUUAUAAAUUAUUAACUUGAAAAAAAAUACAUAUAUUCUUGAUUUAAUAUAAUAAAGUUAAUAAGUUUCGAAAUAAAAUGCGGAAUAAAUAUUGGAGGAUCAAUAUUGAGUAUAUUUGUAUUUUAAGGUCAAACUUGACUUUAAUCGAUCAAAUAAUAGGAUAAUAAAUAAUAAGUGAACAUCUACAAAUUAUAUAUUUACUUUGGAAUUAUUAAUUUGCCCAGGAAGUAGCUGUGAGCCAGGAAAACAACCCGAGACUCGAGAGUAAUUUAUUUGGAUAAUUGGUGAGUGUUUUCAGAAUUUAUGUGUUAAACUAUUUAUGUGUACCUAAGUGAAAUUAUGUGACAAAUGUGCUUAUUAUGAAUUAUUACUAAAUGAUUCAGUGUAAAGUUUAUCUCAAUUGUCCCUCGCCUUCUAAAUCAGGAGUGUACUUCAUCGCACUCAAUUUAGUUGAGUUUGAAGGUCGAUAAUUGACUGAAUGUUACUGUAAGUGUGCAUGAAUGUAAGUCGUGUGUGUGGGUGUUGAUCUUGAUCCCUAUCUUUUGAUGUUUACAAGACAAAUGGAUGUUACUAAUGUCUCUUAAAAGAUCUAUUCAGUUAUGAAACAAAUUAGUUCCAAAGAUCAAGUACAAUUGAAAGAUGACAAAGUAUGCUGAAACUGUCGGACGCUCAAGAAGUCAGAAUCGGACGUCCGAUAAUCAUUGCACAACUUCGGACGUCCGAUCGGAUCCUUCGAAGUCGACGAAACUAUCGGACGCUGAAUAUGUCUCUACCGGACGUCCGAUAGAAACAAGAUAAUUUCUCAAAUCUGUUUGUUUGCACCGGACGUCCGAAAGAAUUGAAGAAAAUCUCUGAAACUCACUGCCUGCUGUCGGACGCAUAAAACAGAGCUAUCGGACGUCCGACACUCCAACGGCUAGUUGACUCUUCAACUACUUUCUAUCCGUUGGAAACUUUAAUGAGGCUCUUUCUUGGUCCUAUAUAAAUAGUGAUUGGUCAGAUACUUCAAACAACUUUGGCACACUGAAGAUAUAAAAGAUCUAGAGAGAUUUUAGUGAGAAAAUACUCUUCAAAGAAGAUUUGUAGUCUUAGUGGUGUAAGGUUCAUUGUAAGUUUUUCAUUUGUGAGUGAAUACUUCAUGAGUGUAGGUCUGUGAGGGUUGUCCUGAGGGAUAGUAAAACGUCCUGAUUUGACCGAGGGAUUCGGGGUAAGGAGGAGGUGAACCUUCCUUUGUACACAAGAGUGAUUGUAAUUCAUCAAUUUGAAGUAACUUGUUUGAAGCUCAAGAGGAGCUGGAUAGUUAAUUGGUUUGCAAUUCUUUCCUUUUACUUAUUGUUACAUUUAUGAUCUUUGCAUUGUUUAUCUCUUUCACUUGGUUGUUUCCGAUCCUUACAAUUGGUAUCAGAGGUUGGUCUCCUUGAGAUUAAGCUCAAUCGGCUUGGGAGUAAAAAUGACAACCAAUAAU